AGUGAACGCUGGCGGUAGGCCUAACACAUGCAAGUCGAACGGCAGCACAGUAAGAGCUUGCUCCUACGGGUGGCGAGUGGCGGACGGGUGAGGAAUACAUCGGAAUCUACUUUUUCGUGGGGGAUAACGUAGGGAAACUUACGCUAAUACCGCAUACGACCUACGGGUGAAAGCAGGGGAACUUUGGACCUUGCGCGAUUGGAUGAGCCGAUGUCGGAUUAGCUAGUUGGCGGGGUAAAGGCCCACCAAGGCGACGAUCCGUAGCUGGUCUGAGAGGAUGAUCAGCCACACUGGAACUGAGACACGGUCCAGACUCCUACGGGAGGCAGCAGUGGGGAAUAUUGGACAAUGGGCGCAAGCCUGAUCCAGCCAUACCGCGUGGGUGAAGAAGGCCUUCGGGUUGUAAAGCCCUUUUGUUGGGAAAGAAAAGCAGCAGGUUAAUACCCCGCUGUUCUGACGGUACCCAAAGAAUAAGCACCGGCUAACUUCGUG
rnacentral:rRNA from 1 species